CCAAAUCUCAACUGUGUAGAACAGCUUCUGCUGGCAAACUCUAACCUGCACACUCUCAUCUGAUAGUGAAUACUGGGAAAGCCUGUCUAGGGUCCAGUGGACGUUAUUGCUGGGGACACGUGCUCAUGUCCUCAGGCAGAGCGGAUGAACCUGCAAUGGUGACUCUCUGUUUCACAUGUUCACUGUGCUGUCGGAGCUGUCCCCUGCUGACCUGCUGGUUCUCAGCUCUGCUUCCUGCACCAGCAUCCGUGAAGGAGUCCACUGCAUGUUCCUCCUGGCUACUCAGAGCUGGAGUCCCUGAAGGCAUGGCCUCCUCCCGGUGUCACAGCCCUGCUAGCUGCCCCUGGGUCCAUGAAGCCCUUGCUGGCCGCUGAGUAUCACGUGCCUGGAGAACUCAGUGACACGUUGAGGUCUCAGACCAGAUGCCCCUGAACCAGUAGGCAUUGGGUGGAAAUCCAGCCCCCAUCUGUCCUCUGGACACAUGGCUGGGAUGCUAAGCAAAGAGGGCUGAAGGUGACACAAAGUCCCAUCCUAGAAAAUGCCCUGAACCCUGGAAAGUGUGGUGGAGCACAGCCUCAGGUACCUCUCUAGGGUGUCACAGGGGCCGAGCCCCUCAACCGGACACUCUCCUCUCUUCCUGCACACUCUGGACAGAGGCCAAUGUGCAGCUGUGUCCCCACGAGGCUCUGGGACGUGGGAUGUGGACCAAGUGAGGGGUGGACACUGCAGCUGCUGGUACGUAGACCGAGUGAGGGAUGCAUAUUGCAGCCACUGGGUUGAGGCCACAGGGAUUGGAGAAGUGUCUGCACCUGCAGGGCUGAUCUGCACGUGUUCUCUCCACACUUCCCAGGACCCAGGAGCACCCAGGGGAGGGCUUUGCAGCUGCUGGGGAUAGGGCA
rnacentral:lncRNA from 1 species